rnacentral:rRNA from 1 species
UGGGGAAUCUUGCGCAAUGCGCGACAGCGUGACGCAGCAACGCCGCGUGGGGGAAGAAGGCCUUCGGGUUGUAAACCCCUUUCAGGAGGGACGAAGGCCGGGCGGUUAAUAGCCGUCCCGGCUGACGGUACCUCCACAAGAAGCCCCGGCUAACUACGUGCCAGCAGCCGCGGUAAUACGUAGGGGGCAAGCGUUGUCCGGAAUCAUUGGGCGUAAAGAGCGUGUAGGCGGCCCGGUAAGUCGGUUGUGAAAGUCAGGGGCUCAACCCUUGAAUGCCGACCGAAACUGCCAGGCUAGAGUCCGGAAGAGGCGAGUGGAAUUCCUGGUGUAGCGGUGAAAUGCGCAGAUAUCAGGAGGAACACCAAUGGCGAAGGCAGCUCGCUGGGACGGUACUGACGCUGAGACGCGAAAGCGUGGGGAGCAAACAG